rnacentral:rRNA from 1 species
CGGACUACGCUGGCGGCGUGCCUAAUACAUGCAAGUCGAACGGGAUCUUUGAUCAGCUUGCUGAGAGAAGGAUCUAGUGGCGGACGGGUGAGUAACGCGUGGAUAACCUACCUCAAGGUCUGGGAUAACAGCUCGAAAGGGCUGCUAAUACCGGAUGUGGUGCAUAUGCUGCAUGGUAGAUGCACUAAAGGGGAAACCCGCCAUGAGAUGGGUCCGCGUCCCAUCAGCUAGUUGGUGGGGUAAAGGCCUACCAAGGCGACGACGGGUAGCCGGCCUGAGAGGGUGACCGGCCACACUGGGACUGAGACACGGCCCAGACUCCUACGGGGGGCAGCAGUGGGGAAUAUUGCACAAUGGGCGAAAGCCUGAUGCAGCGACGCCGCGUGGGCGAAGAAGGCCUUCGGGUUGUAAAGCCCUGUCUGGAGGGACGAAGUAAUGACGGUACCUCCGGAGGAAGCCACGGCUAACUACGUG